AGAGUUUGAUCCUGGCUCAGAAUCAACGCUGGCGGCGUGCUUAACACAUGCAAGUCGAGCGGAAAGGCCCUUCGGGGUACUCGAGCGGCGAACGGGUGAGUAACACGUGAGCAACCUGCCCCUGGCUCUGGGAUAGCUCCGGGAAACCGGGAUUAAUACCGGAUGUGACCUUCUCCUGCAUGGGAGUUGGUGGAAAGUUU
rnacentral:rRNA from 1 species